rnacentral:rRNA from 1 species
CCUACGGGAGGCAGCAGUGGGGAAUUUUGGACAAUGGGCGCAAGCCUGAUCCAGCCAUGCCGCGUGCGGGAAGAAGGCCUUCGGGUUGUAAACCGCUUUUGUCAGGGAAGAAACGCUUUGGGAUAAUACCCUGAGGUAAUGACGGUACCUGAAGAAUAAGCACCGGCUAACUACGUGCCAGCAGCCGCGGUAAUACGUAGGGUGCAAGCGUUAAUCGGAAUUACUGGGCGUAAAGCGUGCGCAGGCGGUUCUAUAAGACAGAUGUGAAAUCCCCGGGCUCAACCUGGGAACUGCAUUUGUGACUGUAGAGCUUGAGUGCGGCAGAGGGGGAUGGAAUUCCGCGUGUAGCAGUGAAAUGCGUAGAUAUGCGGAGGAACACCGAUGGCGAAGGCAAUCCCCUGGGCCUGCACUGACGCUCAUGCACGAAAGCGUGGGGAGCAAACAGGAUUAGAUACCCUGGUAGUCCACGCCCUAAACGAUGUCAACUGUUGUUAGGGAGUUCCUUCUCAGUACGUAGCUAACGCGUGAAGUUGACCGCCGUGGGGAGGUACGGCCGCGAGGUUAGUAACGUACGAAGAAGUUAGUACGGCGUGAGACGUAGCCGACGGACGACGACGAGGGAGGAGG